AAGUUAGGCUAAUGUAAAGGAUAAUAGUCAUUUUUUCUUUUUUUUUAUAAUAUAUAUAAUAUAUUUUAUAUAAAGAAAAAAAAAAGAAAUUAUAGAGUUAUACUAGUAUUUGUUUG
rnacentral:ribozyme from 1 species